UACCACUAAAAAUGAGCAUUUACGUGCAGAAAUUGAAAAACAUCGCAGAAUGCAACUGCAAAAAAUUUACAUUAUUACAAAAUAAAUAUCAGGUGGAAAAAUAAAUAUUCGCUGCAUGGCUAUCUGGUCACUUCGUAAAAAUUAACGUUGUCUAUUAGAUGCGUCUAAAUGACGUAUUUAACAAACGUCUUUAUCGUCUUAGACGUUUAACCGUCUACUAUAAAUACGUGACGAGCAAAUUUAGACGCACUUAAGAAAGAGCCACUCAGACGAAUGUCCCAAAUCCAAAUACUCUAUACCGUAUUUUUGCGAUUACGUUCUUGGUGAUAUGGUCAACAGUUCAGCUCGUAUUUAUAUUAUUCGCACGUAGCACCAGUGGUGUAACUUGUGGUAAAGGUCCUACCCGUUUAAAGUAGCGAGUGUGGGCGGGGGCUACGUCAAGAACAUGCAAAAUUUCCUGAAAUUCAUCAGUUUCACCAUUUUUUGAGCCAUCAGUUUCGCCAUUUUUUUAGCCAAGCGGCGCCUAAAGGAGUUACGCCACUGCUUAGCACAAAACGUUUAAUUCGUCUAGAUACCUAACACGUGUUCUAGUAUAAUAAAUACGACCAUUAUUUUUGGGAUAUUUUAGAAAUUUACUCUUGGGUACAGAACCUUAAUCCUGGAAAUAGCUUCGCCCU